ensembl:snRNA U1 U1 spliceosomal RNA
AUACUUACCGGGCAGGGGCGAUACCAUGAUCACGAAGGUGGUUUUCCCAGGGUGAGGCUUAUCCAUUGCACUCCAGAUGUGCUGACCUCUGCCAUUUCCCCAAAUGUGGGAAACUCACCUGCAUAAUUUGUGGUAGUGGGGGACUGUGUUCCAACUUUCCCCUG